rfam:Vibrio sp. JCM 19231 DNA, contig00131.
UCGUAUUAGUCGGGGAGCCUUUAGGGCUGAGAUCGUUGAAUUAAGUAAGCGAACCCGUUGAACCUGAUUCAGCUAGCACUGACGUAGGGAACUAGUCGCCACACAAG